rnacentral:rRNA from 1 species
GUAUAAUGGGUCAGCGACUUAUAUUCUGUAGCAAGGUUAACCGAAUAGGGGAGCCGAAGGGAAACCGAGUCUUAACUGGGCGUUAAGUUGCAGGGUAUAGACCCGAAACCCGGUGAUCUAGCCAUGGGCAGGUUGAAGGUUGGGUAACACUAACUGGAGGACCGAACCGACUAAUGUUGAAAAAUUAGCGGAUGACUUGUGGCUGGGGGUGAAAGGCCAAUCAAACCGGGAGAUAGCUGGUUCUCCCCGAAAGCUAUUUAGGUAGCGCCUCGUGAAUUCAUCUCCGGGGGUAGAGCACUGUUUCGGCAAGGGGGUCAUCCCGACUUACCAACCCGAUGCAAACUGCGAAUACCGGAGAAUGUUAUCACGGGAGACACACGGCGGGUGCUAACGUCCGUCGUGAAGAGGGAAACAACCCAGACCGCCAGCUAAGGUCCCAAAGUCAUGGUUAAGUGGGAAACGAUGUGGGAAGGCCCAGACAGCCAGGAUGUUGGCUUAGAAGCAGCCAUCAUUUAAAGAAAGCGUAAUAGCUCACUGGUCGAGUCGGCCUGCGCGGAAGAUGUAACGGGGCUAAACCAUGCACCGAAGCUGCGGCAGCGACGCUGAUGCGUUGUUGGGUAGGGGAGCGUUCUGUAAGCCUGUGAAGGUGUGCUGUGAGGCAUGCUGGAGGUAUCAGAAGUGCGAAUGCUGACAUAAGUAACGAUAAAGCGGGUGAAAAGCCCGCUCGCCGGAAGACCAAGGGUUCCUGUCCAACGUUAAUCGGGGCAGGGUGAGUCGACCCCUAAGGCGAGGCCGAAAGGCGUAGUCGAUGGGAAACAGGUUAAUAUUCCUGUACUUGGUGUUACUGCGAAGGGGGGACGGAGAAGGCUAUGUUGGCCGGGCGACGGUUGUCCCGGUUUAAGCGUGUAGGCUGGUUUUCCAGGCAAAUCCGGAAAACUAAGGCUGAGGCGUGAUGACGAGGCACUACGGUGCUGAAGCAACAAAUGCCCUGCUUCCAGGAAAAGCCUCUAAGCAUCAGGUAACAUCAAAUCGUACCCCAAACCGACACAGGUGGUCAGGUAGAGAAUACCAAGGCGCUUGAGAGAACUCGGGUGAAGGAACUAGGCAAAAUGGUGCCGUAACUUCGGGAGAAGGCACGCUGAUAUGUAGGUGAAGUCCCUCGCGGAUGGAGCUGAAAUCAGUCGAAGAUACCAGCUGGCUGCAACUGUUUAUUAAAAACACAGCACUGUGCAAACACGAAAGUGGACGUAUACGGUGUGACGCCUGCCCGGUGCCGGAAGGUUAAUUGAUGGGGUCAGCGCAAGCGAAGCUCUUGAUCGAAGCCCCGGUAAACGGCGGCCGUAACUAUAACGGUCCUAAGGUAGCGAAAUUCCUUGUCGGGUAAGUUCCGACCUGCACGAAUGGCGUAAUGAUGGCCAGGCUGUCUCCACCCGAGACUCAGUGAAAUUGAACUCGCUGUGAAGAUGCAGUGUACCCGCGGCAAGACGGAAAGACCCCGUGAACCUUUACUAUAGCUUGACACUGAACAUUGAGCCUUGAUGUGUAGGAUAGGUGGGAGGCUUUGAAGUGUGGACGCCAGUCUGCAUGGAGCCGACCUUGAAAUACCACCCUUUAAUGUUUGAUGUUCUAACGUUGACCCGUAAUCCGGGUUGCGGACAGUGUCUGGUGGGUAGUUUGACUGGGGCGGUCUCCUCCUAAAGAGUAACGGAGGAGCACGAAGGUUGGCUAAUCCUGGUCGGACAUCAGGAGGUUAGUGCAAUGGCAUAAGCCAGCUUGACUGCGAGCGUGACGGCGCGAGCAGGUGCGAAAGCAGGUCAUAGUGAUCCGGUGGUUCUGAAUGGAAGGGCCAUCGCUCAACGGAUAAAAGGUACUCCGGGGAUAACAGGCUGAUACCGCCCAAGAGUUCAUAUCGACGGCGGUGUUUGGCACCUCGAUGUCGGCUCAUCACAUCCUGGGGCUGAAGUAGGUCCCAAGGGUAUGGCUGUUCGCCAUUUAAAGUGGUACGCGAGCUGGGUUUAGAACGUCGUGAGACAGUUCGGUCCCUAUCUGCCGUGGGCGCUGGAGAACUGAGGGGGGCUGCUCCUAGUACGAGAGGACCGGAGUGGACGCAUCACUGGUGUUCGGGUUGUCAUGCCAAUGGCACUGCCCGGUAGCUAAAUGCGGAAGAGAUAAGUGCUGAAAGCAUCUAAGCACGAAACUUGCCCCGAGAUGAGUUCUCCCUGACUCCUUGAGAGUCCUGAAGGAACGUUGAAG